rnacentral:rRNA from 1 species
AUUGAACGCUGGCGGCAUGCUUUACACAUGCAAGUCGAACGGUAACAGGCCUUCGGGUGCUGACGAGUGGCGCACGGGUGAGUAAUGCAUCGGAACGUACCCAGAGGUGGGGGAUAACGCAGCGAAAGCUGUGCUAAUACCGCAUGUGAUCUGAGGAUGAAAGCGGGGGACCGAGCAGCAAUGUUUGGCCUCGCGCCUUUGGAGCGGCCGAUGUCGGAUUAGCUAGUUGGUGGGGUAAAGGCCUACCAAGGCGACGAUCCGUAGCUGGUCUGAGAGGACGACCAGCCACACUGGGACUGAGACACGGCCCAGACUCCUACGGGAGGCAGCAGUGGGGAAUUUUGGACAAUGGGCGCAAGCCUGAUCCAGCAAUGCCGCGUGCGGGAAGAAGGCCUUCGGGUUGUAAACCGCUUUUGGCAGGAACGAAACGGUGUCCGCUAAUACCGGGCGCUAAUGACGGUACCUGCAGAAUAAGCACCGGCUAACUACGUG